rnacentral:rRNA from 1 species
CUGAGGCGUGACGACGAGGCACUACGGUGCUGAAGCAACAAAUGCCCUGCUUCCAGGAAAAGCCUCUAAGCAUCAGGUAACAUCAAAUCGUACCCCAAACCGACACAGGUGGUCAGGUAGAGAAUACCAAGGCGCUUGAGAGAACUCGGGUGAAGGAACUAGGCAAAAUGGUGCCGUAACUUCGGGAGAAGGCACGCUGACACGUAGGUGAAGUGAUUUACUCAUGGAGCUGAAGUCAGUCGAAGAUACCAGCUGGCUGCAACUGUUUAUUAAAAACACAGCACUGUGCAAACACGAAAGUGGACGUAUACGGUGUGACGCCUGCCCGGUGCCGGAAGGUUAAUUGAUGGGGUCAGCGCAAGCGAAGCUCCUGAUCGAAGCCCCGGUAAACGGCGGCCGUAACUAUAACGGUCCUAAGGUAGCGAAAUUCCUUGUCGGGUAAGUUCCGACCUGCACGAAUGGCGUAAUGAUGGCCAGGCUGUCUCCACCCGAGACUCAGUGAAAUUGAACUCGCUGUGAAGAUGCAGUGUACCCGCGGCAAGACGGAAAGACCCCGUGAACCUUUACUAUAGCUUGACACUGAACAUUGAGCCUUGAUGUGUAGGAUAGGUGGGAGGCUUUGAAGUGUGGACGCCAGUCUGCAUGGAGCCGACCUUGAAAUACCACCCUUUAAUGUUUGAUGUUCUAACGUGGACCCGUAAUCCGGGUUGCGGACAGUGUCUGGUGGGUAGUUUGACUGGGGCGGUCUCCUCCUAAAGAGUAACGGAGGAGCACGAAGGUUGGCUAAUCCUGGUCGGACAUCAGGAGGUUAGUGCAAUGGCAUAAGCCAGCUUGACUGCGAGCGUGACGGCGCGAGCAGGUGCGAAAGCAGGUCAUAGUGAUCCGGUGGUUCUGAAUGGAAGGGCCAUCGCUCAACGGAUAAAAGGUACUCCGGGGAUAACAGGCUGAUACCGCCCAAGAGUUCAUAUCGACGGCGGUGUUUGGCACCUCGAUGUCGGCUCAUCACAUCCUGGGGCUGAAGUAGGUCCCAAGGGUAUGGCUGUUCGCCAUUUAAAGUGGUACGCGAGCUGGGUUUAGAACGUCGUGAGACAGUUCGGUCCCUAUCUGCCGUGGGCGCUGGAGAACUGAGGGGGGCUGCUCCUAGUACGAGAGGACCGGAGUGGACGCAUCACUGGUGUUCGGGUUGUCAUGCCAAUGGCACUGCCCGGUAGCUAAAUGCGGAAGAGAUAAGUGCUGAAAGCAUCUAAGCACGAAACUUGCCCCGAGAUGAGUUCUCCCUGAGACUUAAAGUCUCCUGAAGGAACGUUGAAGACGACGACGUUGAUAGGCCGGGUGUGUAAGCGCAGCGAUGCGUUGAGCUAACCGGUACUAAUGAACCGUGAGGCUUAACC